AUGUGCGUUCCUGAAAGGCAGUUACCGUUCCAGAACGGCAUGUGCCGUGGUAUGCCAGUGGUCACGGUGGCACAUGCAGGCCAAUACACGAUCUCGGCACUAUCUGAGAGUGGAGAGAAAUGUACCAGCAGGGGGGAGGGGCAGGCUCCAGAACCUGUUCCAUUGUUAUUCACAACUACUCAGCGUCUUCCAGUUCGCCAUUUGUGUCCGACGAGUUUGAAAAGAAUGGACGCCAAAAGAAGGGCAGUUUUGUCGAUCACACUGGACACUUUCCUAGAACAGGAAAUCAUGGCUGUGAUUUUCCUGAAACAGUUCCAGAAUCUCGUGGAAGAAGAUAGAAGUAAACGCAAACGGGCUGUGGUUGAGGCUAUGUCUGUGCUGCGGCCCAGAGUGAACAUUAUCCUGAAGUCUGGCACAGAGUGGCAGAUAAUGCUAGACAUGGAUGACCACACAUUUGCCCGGCAUUUCAGAAUAUCAAAAACCCGGUUUGAGGUCCUUAAAGGGUACCUAC
ensembl:lncRNA